GGAUGUGAGGGCGAUCUGGCUGCGACAUCUGUCACCCCAUUGAUCGCCAGGGUUGAUUCGGCUGAUCUGGCUGGCUAGGCGGGUGUCCCCUUCCUCCCUCACCGCUCCAUGUGCGUCCCUCCCGAAGCUGCGCGCUCGGUCGAAGAGGACGACCAUCCCCGAUAGAGGAGGACCGUUCUUCGGUCAAGGGUAUACGAGUAGCUGCGCUCCCCUGCUAGAACCUCCAAACAAGCUCUCAAAUAACUAAGAUUACACUUGAGACAUCUUUUCUACAACUUUCUCCAUCUAUCUUGUGGGCAUCCUUUCCCAGAGAACCAAAACAAU
rnacentral:snRNA from 1 species